rnacentral:rRNA from 1 species
CCUACGGGCGGCAGCAGUCGAGAAUCAUUCACAAUGGGGGAAACCCUGAUGGUGCGACGCCGCGUGGGGGAAUGAAGGUCUUCGGAUUGUAAACCCCUGUCAUGUGGGAGCAAAUUAAAAAGAUAGUACCACAAGAGGAAGAGACGGCUAACUCUGUGCCAGCAGCCGCGGUAAUACAGAGGUCGCAAGCGUUGUUCGGAAUCACUGGGCGUAAGGCGUGCGUAGGCUGUUUCGUAAGUCGUGUGUGAAAGUCGCGGGCUCAACCCGCGGACGGCAUAUGAUACUGCGAGACUAGAGUAAUGGAGGGGGAACCGGAAUUCUCGGUGUAGCAGUGAAAUGCGUAGAUAUCGAGAGGAACACUCGUGGCGAAGGCGGGUUCCUGGACAUUAACUGACGCUGAGGCACGAAGGCCAGGGGAGCGAAAGGGAUUAGAUACCCGUGUAGUC